GACGAACGCUGGCGGCGUGCCUAAUACAUGCAAGUCGAGCGAAUGGAUUAAGAGCUUGCUCUUAUGAAGUUAGCGGCGGACGGGUGAGUAACACGUGGGUAACCUGCCCAUAAGACUGGGAUAACUCCGGGAAACCGGGGCUAAUACCGGAUAACAUUUUGAACCGCAUGGUUCGAAAUUGAAAGGCGGCUUCGGCUGUCACUUAUGGAUGGACCCGCGUCGCAUUAGCUAGUUGGUGAGGUAACGGCUCACCAAGGCAACGAUGCGUAGCCGACCUGAGAGGGUGAUCGGCCACACUGGGACUGGGACACGGCCCAGACUCCUACGGGAGGCAGCAGUAGGGAAUCUUCCGCAAUGGACGAAAGUCUGACGGAGCAACGCCGCGUGAGUGAGGAAGGCUUUCGGGUCGUAAAACUCUGUUGUUAGGGAAGAACAAGUGCUAGUUGAAUAAGCUGGCACCUUGACGGUACCUAGCCAGAAAGCCACGGCUAACUACGUGCCAGCCGCCGCCGUAA
rnacentral:rRNA from 1 species